GUUAAUGUAGCUUAAAACAAAAGCAAGG
rnacentral:tRNA from 1 species